rnacentral:rRNA from 1 species
GACGAACGCUGGCGGCGUGCCUAAUACAUGCAAGUAGAACGCAGUUACGAACGGGUGAGUAACGCGUAGGUAACCUGCCUCAUAGCGGGGGAUAACUAUUGGAAACGAUAGCUAAUACCACAUACUGUGAGAUGGACCUGCGUUGUAUUAGCUAGUUGGUGAGGUAAAUGCUCACCAAGGCGACGAUACAUAGCCGACCUUAGAGGGUGUUCGGCCACACUUGGACUGAGACACGGCCCAGACUCCUACGGGAUGCAGCAGUGGGGAAUAUUGCACAAUGGGCGCAAGCCUGAUGCAGCCAUGCCGCGUGUAUGAAGAAGGCCUUCGGGUUGUAAAGUACUUUCAGCGGGGAGGCGUUACCCGCAGAAGAAGCACCGGCUAACUCCGUGCCAGCAGCCGCGGGAAUAC